AUUGAACGCUGGCGGCAUGCCUUACACAUGCAAGUCGAACGGCAGCACGGGGGCAACCCUGGUGGCGAGUGGCGAACGGGUGAGUAAUGCAUCGGAACGUGCCCAGUAGUGGGGGAUAACUAGUCGAAAGAUUAGCUAAUACCGCAUACGACCUAUGGGUGAAAGCGGGGGAUUCGCAAGAACCUCGCGCUAUCGGGAGCGGCCGAUGUCUGAUUAGCUAGUUGGCGGGGUAAGAGCCCACCAAGGCUUCGAUCAGUAGCUGGUCUGAGAGGACGACCAGCCACACUGGGACUGAGACACGGCCCAGACUCCUACGGGAGGCAGCA
rnacentral:rRNA from 1 species